GAUAACUAUUUCAUAUAUAGACGAGGACCUUCCUUUUGAGGAGAGACAGGCAUUACUCGCAGACUAUGGUUUUCGAUGUCGAUGCUCCAAGUGUCUAGAGGAAGCCUAAUCAAAAAUUAAAGGCAGCUAAUUUCAUAUAGUUGAUAUUGCAUUAUUAGGAUCGGGAUGGCCAAGCAACUAUAAUUGCUCUUCAACCAAUUGCCAAAGGAGAAGAGGUAGCUUUAAUUUUUUCUUUAUAGUUACAAAUCUAAUAUGCUUUGGAAAAUUAUUUGUAAACUCCAGUCCGCAGGACAAGGGAAGAGAAUUCUAACUAUCAGAAGGUGUUGAUGUAUGCAGAUAACUAUUUCAUAUAUAGACGAGGACCUUCCUUUUGAGGAGAGACAGGCAUUACUCGCAGACUAUGGUUUUCGAUGUCGAUGCUCCAAGUGUCUAGAGGAAGCCUAAUCAAAAAUUAAAGGCAGCUAAUUUCAUAUAGCUAUGGUUUUCGAUGUCGAUGCUCCAAGUGUCUAGAGGAAGCCUAAUCAAAAAUUAAAGGCAGCUUCUUUGAGAGAAUUUCAUAUAGUAAAGGGCUAUCUUUUACCCUUUCCCAUUAAACAAUUUUCCUUGAUAUAACUAGUUAAGCAUAAAAUUUGAUUAACCUAUUGUUUGUUUCCUGAUAAAAUUGAAAGGUAGACUGGAGAAAAUUUUGUCGAAUGAGUUGAUUGCAGGAAAGCAUAUUGGCUAAAAAAAUUCCAUGAAAUUGUAGUAAAUGUCCGGCUAAAGUUGUUUAGCGAAAAGACUGCAAAGAUGUAAAACCCCGGAUUUCUUGAUUCUUUUUUAUGAAAUACUUUAUUUUC
rnacentral:lncRNA from 1 species